rfam:Trichobilharzia regenti genome assembly, scaffold: TRE_scaffold0000686
GUACCGCUGAAGAGUACCAAAUUAGGACGAAACAGCUGUCCAGUAC